rnacentral:sRNA from 13 species
UCAUCAUAGUUACAGUUAUGAUUUACCUGCCAUCAGAGGCACCUUAUAAGUAACACGACAACGGGGAAGCAAACCAAAAAAAAAGAAUACAAAAUACAAAACCACCCCGUAAAAACCUAAAUGGAAACCCGAAAAAGCGGGCACGCGUCAGUUGGCAACGAUCCCUAACAAUCCGUUGGAAAAACAUAAACGAGUUGAGCGCACUAGACAAAUCCCAUAAGCAAAUUCGGUUCACGCAGUUACCCCCCGUCGCAGUGCGGAGACCCCGAGACUUCAGGCCCCGGAUCCCAACCCGUAUCCGCAUCCGCAUCCGAAUCCGAAUCCGAGCAGGACGAGGACUAUGAAUCUGAAGGACUACCGCACUGGAGUGCAACCCUGUUACUUUCCAUCGAAUACCACCCCCCUUUUUCGCGCAGUGUAGUUGUCCGUUCGCCAGUCCUUCGUAUCAAU